UGCCAGCCGCCGCGGUAAUACGGAGGGUGCAAGCGUUAAUCGGAAUUACUGGGCGUAAAGCGCGCGUAGGCGGUUGUUUAAGUCGGAUGUGAAAGCCCCGGGCUCAACCUGGGAACUGCAUUCGAUACUGGGCAACUAGAGUAUGAGAGAGGGAGGUAGAAUUCCAUGUGUAGCGGUGAAAUGCGUAGAUAUGUGGAGGAAUACCAGUGGCGAAGGCGGCCUCCUGGCUUAAUACUGACGCUGAGGUGCGAAAGCGUGGGGAGCAAACAGGAUUAGAUA
rnacentral:rRNA from 1 species